ensembl:snoRNA
CCACCAAAAGUUUGUUAUUGGGGGAAGGUUUUUUUAAUGGCCUUUACCAACGUCAGGCUAUUUGGGAGAAUAAAGAAGGCCAUGCUCCACAGUGAGCUAUACCACUUAGUAUAGUUCAUUACUAUUUUGUGGCCUACAUC